UACAGAGGUCUCAAGCGUUGUUCGGAUUCAUUGGGCGUAAAGGGUGCGUAGGCGGCGCGGUAAGUCGGGUGUGAAAUCUCGGAGCUUAACUCCGAAACUGCAUUCGAUACUGCCGUGCUUGAGGACUGGAGAGGAGACUGGAAUUUACGGUGUAGCGGUGAAAUGCGUAGAUAUCGUAAGGAAGACCAGUGGCGAAGGCGGGUCUCUGGACAGUUCCUGACGCUGAGGCACGAAGGUCAGGGGAGCAAAGCGGG
rnacentral:rRNA from 1 species